GUGUACGUACAUACAUAUAUUGAUAUAUAUUUUUAAUAUUUUUAAUUUUCUAUAGGUAAGCGAUUAACAUAAUGCUUUCGGUUAAUAAAGAAACAUGUAACAGUUUUAUUAAGUUGUGGUAGAGAAGUAUUUAAUUUAGUCAGUCUUUCGCAUGUGAUUUCUACCUAAAAGUAUUUUAAAACAGUUAGUUAAAAGAAGGAAUUUCUAUUUAUAUUUAAUGUCCACUGACCAAUAGGAAUUAAUUGUUUCAUAUUUAGUAUUCUUUUAAAAAAAGAAACAAAGUAUUAUCAAUUCAUAUCAUGAUUUUAAAAUAAAAAAUAAAAAUAAAAAAUAGUACUAGUUGCAAAAAAAGAAUUAAAAAAAUAUUUUAACACUGCCAGCAAAAGACUAAAACCUUAAAUCAUAAAUCCUAAACCAUUGGAUAAGUUUAGUGUGCCCCAACCCUUAUCUUAGCAUAAUAAUAAUCAAAAUAAUUAACUUAUUAUAAUACUAAUGAUAUACUUUACAUGCGUUAUACGUAUUCGUAUUAAUAUUAAACAAAUUUCAUCGUAAAUUGUACUUUACUAAUGUUUUUGUGGUUUAAAUAUAUGUUAAAUUAAGAUAAUAGUAAUUAAAGUUGAUGAAAGCAUGUUCGAAUGAUACUGAUUUGUUAUAUGAUUACUUCGUGGGCUAAGUUUUAAAAUUGAAAUUUGUUUUCUU
rnacentral:lncRNA from 1 species